rnacentral:rRNA from 1 species
AGGUUGACCUCGGAUCAGGUAGGGAUACCCGCUGAACUUAAGCAUAUCAAAAGGGCGGGGAGGACUUCACGCACCAACCCCAAUCGGGACGGGAAACCACCUAGUUAUAACCUGGACGGAAAAAGCUCCCGAACCAAUGAAAAAAAGAAAUAAAAAAAAUCCAAAUGACCCGGCACUAU